rnacentral:rRNA from 1 species
AAUGAACGCUGGCGGCGUGCCUAACACAUGCAAGUCGUACGAGAAAUCCCGAGCUUGCUUGGGAGAGUAAAGUGGCGCACGGGUGAGUAACGCGUGGGUAACCCACCUUCGAAUCUGGGAUAACUCCGCGAAAGCGGUGCUAAUACCGGAUAAGACCACAUUCCGUUCGCGGAAAGAGGUAAAAGCUGACCUCUCCAUGGAAGUUAGCGUUCGAGGACGGGCCCGCGUCCUAUCAGCUUGUUGGUGGGGUAAUGGCCUACCAAGGCUGCGACGGGUAGCUGGUCUGAGAGGAUGAUCAGCCACACUGGAACUGGAACACGGUCCAGACUCCUACGGGAGGCAGCAGUGAGGAAUUUUGCGCAAUGGGGGAAACCCUGACGCAGCAACGCCGCGUGGGUGAAGAAGGCUUUCGGGUCGUAAAGCCCUGUCAGGUGGGAAGAAACACUUCAGCACUAAUAAUGCUGAAGUCUGACGGUACCACCAGAGGAAGCACCGGCCAACUCCGUG